rnacentral:rRNA from 1 species
AGGUCAAGUGAAGAAGGGCGCACGGUGAAUGCCUGGGCACUGGAAGCCGAUGAAGGACGUGACGAACCACGAAAGUCUUCGGGUAGCCGUAAGUAGGCUGUGAUCCGGAGGUAUCCGAAUGGGGGAACCCGGCAUGGCGACAUGUCAUCUUUAAGUGAAUACAUAGCUUGAAGAAGGAACACGCAGUGAACUGAAACAUCUAAGUAGCUGCAGGAAGAGAAAGAAAUUCGAUUUCCCAAGUAGCGGCGAGCGAACAGGAAAGAGCCCAAACCGCUAGAUUUAUCUAGCGGGGUUGUAGGACUGAGACGUGGCAUUUCGGCGGAUAGCAGAAGCAUCUGGGAAGAUGCGCCAGAGAGGGUGACAGCCCCGUAAGCGAAAUCCAAAGAAAGCCUAUCAGGAUCCUGAGUAGGGCGGGACACGAGAAAUCCCGUCUGAAUCCGCGAGGACCAUCUCGCAAGGCUAAAUACUAACCAGUGACCGAUAGUGAACCAGUACCGUGAGGGAAAGGUGAAAAGAACCCCGGGAGGGGAGUGAAAGAGAACCUGAAACCGUGUGCCUACAAGUAGUCAGAGCCCGUUAAAGGGUGAUGGCGUGCCUUUUGUAGAAUGAACCGGCGAGUUGCGUUAGCCAGCGAGGUUAAGUCAGAAAAGACGGAGCCGCAGCGAAAGCGAGUCUGAAUAGGGCGAGCAGUUGGCUGAUGCAGACCCGAAACCAAGUGACCUACCCAUGACCAGGUUGAAGGCGCGGUAAAACGCGCUGGAGGACCGAACCCACGUAAGUUGAAAAUUGCGGGGAUGAGUUGUGGG